UCGGCACAUUGUGAUGUCAUCGGCCCAUGGCCUGUGGCUAUAUAAUCUCUCAUCCAGGCAGUUUACUGCAAUAACAUCUUGGAAGCUUCAACAGAAUAUCUCAAGUCACCAAUAUGCCUAACGCCGGAGUUGCCCACAUACCACUAUGGAAUUCAUACAGCUCCAUGCAACCCCGCCCACCCAAGAAGCCUGCAGGUCACAUGCAGAAAAAGAAGACCACCGCUGGCCGCAGGCAGAAACGCCAGGCUGCCGUGGCCUGCAGUCUACCAGAGGAAACAUUGGUAGAGUACCUGCGCCGGGCAUAUAAAAUGCUGCCAAAACACCCUGUGGCGCACCAGGCUGAACAUCAUCAGUAGCUCGCAGUCUGCGGCCAAGCCCAGUGUGAGGCCUCAGGACUAGCCUAGCUGGUGGCCCUAUAAUUCCUGGCCACCAUGGAGGCCUUGUGGUGGUUUUUUAGAUAGGCAAGAGCAGUCAAAAAAAAAAAAAAAAAAAUUAACAACAAAAAAAGACAACUCUGAUAAAAAAAACAACAACAUCAAACACCGUUAUUGGUACUUGUAGCUAGAAGCUGUUUUUUUUUUCAUUUAUAUUUUCUUGAUUAGGAAAAUGGAAUCUCAUAUUAAUGCUGUGAUACAUUGCUAUCUAUCCAAUAUAUUCCAGUAGAUAGCAAUGUUUCUCAGCAUUAAUAUGGAAUCUGAUAUUAAUGCUGUGAAAUGUUGCUAUCUACUGGAAUAUAUUGGAUAGAUAGCAAUGUAUCACAGCAUUAAUAUGUUAUUCCAUUUUCCUUUUCAUGAAAACAUUAAUGGGGGGUUUUUUAUGUUAAAACCAGUUAUUGCGUUUCCCAACAA